rnacentral:sRNA from 1 species
GGGGACAGGGAGCACUGCAAAGGCUCAGACACGGGAAAUAGCUGGCCCUGCCCUGGGCUGCAGCACCCGAGCUGGGUGCAAAGCACGGGCCAGGGGAGAGAGCAAUUAGCUGGGUCUUUCUUCCAGAUCCAGCAUCUUCCAGGUACCAGAACUUCAGCAAAGGAAGCAGACACGGGUCGGAGGAAGCCUACCUAGACCCCAUUGCCAUGGAGUAUUACAACUGGGGGCGGUUCUCGAAGCCCCCGGAAGAUGAUGAUGCCAAUUCCUACGAGAAUGUGCUCAUUUGCAAGCAGAAAACCACAGAGACAGGUGCCCAGCAGGAGGGCAUAGGUGGCCUCUGCAGAGGGGACCUCAGCCUGUCACUGGCCCUGAGGACUGGCCCCACUUCUGGUCUCUGUCCCUCUGCCUCCCCGGAAGAAGAUGAGGAAUCUGAGGAUUAUCAGAACUCAGCAUCCAUCCAUCAGUGGCGCGAGUCCAGGAAGGUCAUGGGGCAACUCCAGAGAGAAGCAUCCCCUGGCCCGGUGGGAAGCCCAGACGAGGAGGACGGGGAACCGGAUUACGUGAAUGGGGAGGUGGCAGCCACAGAAGCCUAGGGCAGACCAAGAAGAAAGGAGCCAAGGCAAAGAGGGACCACUGUGCUCAUGGACCCAUCGCUGCCUUCCAAGGACCAUUUCCCAGAGCUACUCAACUUUUAAGCCCCUGCCAUGGUUGCUCCUGGAAGGAGAACCAGCCACCCUGAG